UUAUCUGCCCAGUGAAAAAUUUUAACGGCCGCAGUACCUUGACUGUGCAAAGGUAGCAUAAUAAUUUGACUUUUAAAUGGAGCCUAGAAUGAAAGAAAGAACGUAAGCAACUUGUCUCAUUAAUAUUAUUUUAAAUUUGAUGAUUGAGUGAAAAUACUCAUAAUUUUAAUAACAGACGAGAAGACCCUUAGAAUUUUUAAAAGUAAUAAGUAAAUAUCUUAUAAGAUUUUUUGUUGGGGCAACAAUAUUUCAAAUAAUAAAUAUAUAAAUGAAAUAAAUAAGUCGAUUAAAUAAUUAUAGAAAAAUUACCUAAGGGAUAACAGCAUAAUUUUAUUAAUAAGCUUGUGACCUCGAUGUUGGACUAGGUACUAUUAAGGCUAAUCGUUUUAA
rnacentral:rRNA from 1 species